CAAAGGAUUUGAUUUUUCAUCAAACAUUUACAAUUGACAGCUGCACUUGAAAACUAAGUGAUGGGUAUAAUAUGCAAACUGCAAGUUAGUAUAGAAUAAAUAAGUGAAAUUUGCAUUGCAAAAUAAUUGGCAGAAGCUUGCAAAUUUUACCCAAAACCAUUAUUUGGUAUACGAGUGACUAGUAAGGUAUUGUUUAAUCAAUAACAUUUUUACAGCACAGUCCCAACAUGCUGAUUAGUUCUUAAGCCCCCUCUGCACAAAUGAUCAUGGUAAGGAGAUCAUCCAAAUUCUUUGAUGGAACGUACUUGUUUAUUAUUCUCAGGUUGAUUUUCUCUGGUACACAGGGCUUUUGGGUGUCGAUGUACUUUGAUCUCUUAGAGCAGUGACUCUCAUCUGCUAAGGCUGUGGCACCUGGAUUGUCAACAUUUAUUUGUCAACAAAAUUCAUGAUUCCAAGUUUCCAAAGCAGCCUUUGUCCAGUUAGUUACAGAAUAAAAGAUGUGUGAUGUAGUUCUGUGACCUUCCUCACGCAAGAGAAGAACCACCAUUUUUGUAGCAGAACCACCUGAAUCGACAAGUAAAUGUGCAAAGACAGAUAAAGAUGAUGCUUGUAUUAUUUGUGGAAAAGCAGCAACCUCUAAAAGAAAUCCACUUCAACAACCUUCUGAAGAGACCUGGAAUUUCCUGGCCCAAAAACGUGAAGAAUGGAGGCAGCUAAACACUGAGUUCGGCAACCGUUAUGAAUGCAUACAGGUUGAUUAUGAAUUCAAAGCAAGCAGCUGUCACCUACUGACGUGAAGUUAUGAUGUUACCUCCCACGGAACAAGCAAAACGAGGUUACCUCCAACAGAUAUUAAGCAAGAUGAUGUUACCUCCUAACCAAGAACGCUUGGAGUAUUCAGAGUAUUCAUCACUUUAGUGAGGUUUCUACCUAUUGAAGCAUCUAUCGGUCAUUACAUUUUUAAAUAAGCGAGGGAGUUCGAACGUUAUUUCAGAAUUAUUUACACAAUGUCAUUUUUAGUACUACCAGCCCAGAUGUGACGGUAUCUCAGUCAGCGAAGAGUUAAUUUCACUAAUUUAUUUUUUACUAUAUCUCCUUUUACAUUUUUUAUUAGAAAUAUUUUUUGUAAAAGGGAAAGUAAAACCUGGAAUACCCAGACUUUUAUUCUACCGGAACAAAAAAUUACAAUGGUAGUAACUUUUUUUUUACUCCUACAGUAAGGGGCAUUAACUCUUCUCUCGGAAGGUAGCCAGGCUGAUUAACGAGGAUAAAGCAGAGUAAUCUGGCCUGUUUUGAGGUGAGGUUUGAUCCUAUAAUUGUUUUACAAGAGAUUCAAAAUCAUUCAGCUACACUGGUCUAGUUCCCCUUCCACUAUACCACUGCCGAAGGUAGUUAGCUUUUUACUAUGUUUGGUUAAGUUGAAUCAAAGCUUAAAAACCGCAUUUUAAUAUACACCAAGACCAGAAAAUGCUAGUCUUCCAAAAUUCUCGUUCAUUAGCCAAGGGAUUUAAAGAUUAUGGUUACAUACUUAACCAAUACACAUGCACCUACUUCCUAGACCUUUAAACUAAGAAUUACAUGGCUUGGAUGCAAUACCAGUGCCAAAGAUUGUUAGUUUUCACCACGAUUUUAGCUAAAAUCUACGCAUUACCGUUUACGGUCACCUGUUCUAGUUCUUAAGUAUCAAAGCCCCAAUUGUUUUAUCUCGAGUGCAAGUAGGGUAGUCUGCCCGAAAACUCGGGCAACUAGAGAAAACGAAUUUUCAU